AACGAACGCUGGCGGCAUGCCUAACACAUGCAAGUCGAACGAGACCUUCGGGUCUAGUGGCGCACGGGUGCGUAACGCGUGGGAACCUGCCCUUAGGUUCGGAAUAACUCCCCGAAAGGGGUGCUAAUACCGGAUAAUGCCUUCGGACCAAAGAUUUAUCGCCUUUGGAUGGGCCCGCGUUGGAUUAGCUAGUUGGUAGGGUAAAAGCCUACCAAGGCGACGAUCCAUAGCUGGUCUGAGAGGAUGAUCAGCCACACUGGGACUGAGACACGGCCCAGACUCCUACGGGAGGCAGCAGUGGGGAAUAUUGGACAAUGGGCGAAAGCCUGAUCCAGCAAUGCCGCGUGAGUGAUGAAGGCCCUAGGGUUGUAAAGCUCUUUUACCCGGGAUGAUAAUGACAGUACCGGGAGAAUAAGCUCCGGCUAACUCCGUG
rnacentral:rRNA from 1 species